UACAGAGGUCCCAAGCGUUGUUCGGAUUCAUUGGGCGUAAAGGGUGCGUAGGCGGCGCGGUAAGUCGGGUGUGAAAUCUCGGGGCUUAACUCCGAAACUGCAUUCGAUACUGCCGUGCUUGAGGACUGGAGAGGAGACUGGAAUUUACGGUGUAGCGGUGAAAUGCGUAGAUAUCGUAAGGAAGACCAGUGGCGAAGGCGGGUCUCUGGACAGUUCCUGACGCUGAGGCACGAAGGCCAGGGGAGGCAAAACGGG
rnacentral:rRNA from 1 species